AGAAAAGAAGAUUAAAUAAUAUCUAAUUAUUAUAUCUAAACUCAUAGUAUAUUGUGUAAUUGCUUAGUUGUUCGUAUCUAAGCACAUGUAGAUAUUUAAGAAUAUUUGAAUGCUAAUGUUCAUGUUAGUAUGCUUUAUUUCUUAUAAAUGGUAUGGUUAUGUGUUAUGUUUGACAUGGUUAAUUAAUGCAUGUCUUGAUAAGUAUUUAAGUGAGUGGGAGUUCUAAAAUUAUUAGAACUUUAACUUUGCCAAAUGCAUACUACAUUAAUGAUGCCUUGACAUUUGAAUAUGGA
rnacentral:lncRNA from 1 species